rnacentral:lncRNA from 1 species
UGAGGUGUGAAAAGUUCCGUGUUGACAAAGAUUUGCAUCAGCUGCUGCCGCUAAACAACAUGUAAAAACUUGCAGUUUAAUUUUAGCUUCAGAACAAAUAAGCGCUUUUCCAAACCCACCCAGGAGCGCAGGCUGUCACUAGGUCUACAGGUGUGCUCUGAAAUCAGACACUAUCAAGAAAUUCUAUCGUGCUAAAAUGAACAAGGAGCCGGGACGGCACAAUCCAUCAUUUUUUAAUGUGUUUUGGGAACUGUCUUAACAAGUGUGGAAGUGUCCCAGCGAGAUCUUGUAUUCAGCUCCCACUGUGCAUAUAUUAAGCCAGCGUGCGUGUGUGUGCAUGCACACACGUUCGUGUCUGCAUUCUAUAUUAGAAGGUCUCAGGAAAAGAGUGAUAAAUAAGAUGAAGCGGUAAGAGGGCACCAAAGACCAUAAUUAAAGGCGCUUGAGAGCAGUUAGCUGGCCUUAGCGCUUUGGUGGCUCUGGGUGACAGUUAUUGCCACAUAUCAUCUUCCAGGAGUCCUGGGGCCAUCGAAGCAUCUUGCAAAGGCAGGUGUGAACUCCCUGGGGAGGAUUCUCUCAGAGAAUGAGCAACUGCAGGCUGAGCAGGAGCGUGUGUGUGGGUGUGGAGAGAGGUAUCCUCCACUGCGCUGGUCUUUCAUGUGGGGUAGCCGAGAUCUCCUCCUCACCGCCAUCUCCACAAUAAGCCUUUGCAAUUUCAAAGCAC